UACAGAGGUCCCAAGCGUUGUUCGGAUUCACUGGGCGUAAAGGGUGCGUAGGCGGUUGGAUAAGUCUGAUGUGAAAUCUUCGAGCUCAACUCGGAAACUGCAUCGGAAACUAUCUAGCUAGAGGAUUGGAGGGGAGACUGGAAUUCUCGGUGUAGCAGUGAAAUGCGUAGAUAUCGAGAGGAACACCAGUGGCGAAGGCGAGUCUCUGGACAAUUCCUGACGCUGAGGCACGAAGGCGUGGGGAGCGAACGGG
rnacentral:rRNA from 1 species